rnacentral:rRNA from 1 species
ACUCCUACGGGUGGCAGCAGUGGGGAAUAUUGCGCAAUGGGCGAAAGCCUGACGCAGCAACGCCGCGUGGGGGAUGACGGCCUUCGGGUUGUAAACCCCUUUCAGCAGGGACGAAAAUGACGGUACCUGCAGAAGAAGCCCCGGCCAACUACGUGCCAGCAGCCGCGGUAACACGUGGGGGGCAAGCGUUGUCCGGAUUUAUUGGGCGUAAAGAGCUCGUAGGCGGUUGCGUAAGUCGGAUGUGAAAACUCAGGGCUCAACCCGGAGACGCCAUCCGAUACUGCGCUGACUAGAGUCCGGUAGGGGAGCAUGGAAUUCCUGGUGUAGCGGUGAAAUGCGCAGAUAUCAGGAGGAACACCAGUGGCGAAGGCGGUGCUCUGGGCCGGUACUGACGCUGAGGAGCGAAAGCGUGGGUAGCGAACAGGAUUAGAUACCCUGGUAGUCCACGCCGUAAACGUUGGGCACUAGGUGUGGGGCCUACUUAACGGGUUCCGUGCCGUAGCUAACGCAUUAAGUGCCCCGCCUGGGGAGUACGGCCGCAAGGCUAAAACUCAAAGGAAUUGACGGGGGCCCGCACAAGCGGCGGAGCAUGUUGCUUAAUUCGAGGCAACGCGAAGAACCUUACCUGGGUUUGACAUGCACGGAAAAGCCAUAGAGAUAUGGUGUCCUUCGGGGCUGUGCACAGGUGGUGCAUGGCUGUCGUCAGCUCGUGUCGUGAGAU